rnacentral:rRNA from 1 species
UAAACGAUGGAUACUAGCUGUUUGGUUUUAUGACUGAGUGGCUAAGCGAAAGUGAUAAGUAUCCCACCUGGGGAGUACGUUCGCAAGAAUGAAACUCAAAGGAAUUGACGGGGGCCCGCACAAGCGGUGGAGCAUGUGGUUUAAUUCGAUGAUACGCGAGGAACCUUACCAAGGUUUAAAUGGAGACUGACAGGGGCAGAGAUGCCUCCUUCUUCGGACAGUUUUCAAGGUGCUGCAUGGCUGUCGUCAG